rnacentral:lncRNA from 1 species
CUUUUGCAAACAUUUUAAUUGAUUGUAUAACUGAAAAUGUAUCAAUGUCUCAAAUACCAUUCCCCUUUUUCCAGUUCUUAGAUACUUCCUGUUUUCCUUAACUCAUUAUUGUGAUAUUGUAUAACAAAUCAAAUCUAAUUGCACCUCUUGACUCCAAACGGAUGAUACGAGUUAUUUUUAAUUGGCAAAAGGUCAACACCUCUAUAUAUAUUUCCGCAUUUAUCAUUUGAAAAUAUUAUUUCUUAACAUUAGUAAAAAAAUAUAAAUAUGCUGAUGCCAUUUAAACUCUGGAUAAACUUGUUUGCACCUGAUCAGCACCUUUUAUGAGGCUAAUGAGAAGGGAACUCUGUUGAUAAACCGGAUUCGUUGAGGUCAUAUACAAAGCAAAGAAAAUGUGUAUCGUAGGACUGCGUCAGGUUUUGAUAAAUUUUUUUAUAUUGGUUAUUGAAUAUAGCAAUACUAUUUGCCAACACUGAAAAGCUCCACAUAUGCUUAAAUGAAACAAAUACAUUUUUUUUUAAAUUGUGUGAAUUAGAAAAUCUGAAUAUUGUCAUACUUCAUUUUAUGAUAGUUUUAACUUCCUUGAGGCAACAGUUGUACCGUUUUACCUAAAUAUAGCGUUAUUUUCAUCACCAUGAAGUUAAACAGGAAACUUUUGAACUUUUGAUAAUUUAUAUAUUGUAUCAUCAUCCAGUUGAAUAUCGUAUUCAGUGUUGGAUUAAACUUGUGCACAUUAAAGUAGACUUUUUGGGGAGAA